rnacentral:rRNA from 1 species
CCUACGGAGGCAGCAGUGGGGAAUCUUGCACAAUGGAGGAAACUCUGAUGCAGCGAUGCCGCGUGAGUGAAGAAGGCCUUUGGGUUGUAAAGCUCUUUUGUAGGGGAAGAUAAUGACUGUACCCUAAGAAUAAGGUCCGGCUAACUUCGUGCCAGCAGCCGCGGUAAUACGAAGGGACCUAGCGUAGUUCGGAAUUACUGGGCGUAAAGCGCGCGUAGGCCGUUGAGUUAGUUAAUUGUGAAAUCCCAAAGCCUAACUUUGGAACUGCAAUUAAAACUGCUCGACUAGAGUUUGAUAGAGGAAAGCGGAAUACAUAGUGUAGAGGUGAAAUUCGUAGAUAUUAUGUAGAACACCAGUUGCGAAGGCGGCUUUCUGGAUCAACACUGACGCUGAGGCGCGAAAGUAUGGGUAGCAAAGAGGAUUAGAUACCCUCGUAGUCCAUACCAUAAACGAUGAUUGCUAGAUGUUGGAAAUUUAUUUUCAGUAUCGCAGCUAACGCAUUAAGCAAUCCGCCUGGGGAGUACGACCGCAAGGUUUAAAACUCAAAGAUAAUCGACGNGNGAGAGCGACGACGACGACGACGAGGAGAG